UGCUAUUCUUCUUCACCGUGUCACCUCCUCCAUGAGAGUCAACCAUGAGCUUUUGAUGUGUCUUCACCAUUUUUCAUUCAACUCCUUAAUUCAUCAAACCUACUUACCUAAAACUAGACUAGCUAAUCCUAAUCACCAAUGUAUUAACUCAAAUCUCCUACACUUGUCUCUGCAAACAAUCUGACUUGUAGCCUCAAUGGAGCACCCAACCUCCUAUAAAUAGCUGUUAAUUCAUCCCCAAAUGCAAUACAAAUCAGAUUACCUUCAAUUCACAAUUAAAAAUCAUAAGUUCUUAAUUUUUCUGUUCAAACAACUGAGACCACCGCCGGAAACCACCGCGAGCAACCAUCACCGAAGUUGCCGCCGGCUACCUGCCACCACCCACCUUCGCCUAGUAAUCCGGCCAACUCUUGUGUGUGGGUCCCAACCAGAAGCCGUACACCCCGCUAGCGGCCGAUUUCUUUUUCUCCCUUCUCUGUUCUUCGGCUCCUCUGUCCUUCGGCUUUAAAACCAUCUCGACCCUCGGAGCUCAGGAAGGACGAUAAUCAAGACUAGAGGAAAAGCCUAAGUCAAUCACGAAUUUGAGGUGGCGAUCGGGGCGACGGAUGCGAAUAGUGGCAAGGAUUUCGUCUUAUUAGGGUUCACCUAGUUUAAGCUUAAUUUGUACUAAGUUCAAGGUAAAUAUUAUCCUAGGAGCUUCAGAAGAAUGAGUGAUGCUUUCUGGGAUGCAUACUGUGGCAGAUAUAUUUUCCUGCAGCCGUGGACAGAUCGUUGGAUGGAAAUAUGUAAUGUUCUACAAAACUCCUGACUCUGGAACACUAUGUGUUUGACUUGUCAAUGUGGCUAGUCAACCAAAACUUACAAUUCAAUUUCUUUGUACGAGUAGUUAUUACUGGCUUAGAUGGUGUAUUUGUUGGGGACGGUCGUACCAGGCACCCUUUUGCAUCCCUGGGAAGAAAAGGGGAAAAAGAGCCUGACUUGUUAGCUAUUGUAGCUUUUGUCCAACAUUGUUGACCUGGUUCUCGUGAUUGGGUAGAAAAUUAAAAAAUGGAUCAUCAGGUUAUUAGGAUUUGUUGAUUUCAUGUUGAACUGCGAAUCCGACUGCAGUCUAAUACAGUUAAUUAUUUAGUUUUGA